GACACGACCGUACCGCAAACCGACACUGGUGCGCGAGAUGAGUAUUCUAAGGCGCUUGAGAGAACUCAGGAGAAGGAACUCGGUAAAUUGACACCGUAACUUCGGAAGAAGGUGUGCCUUUAGUAGGUGAACCUGUACAAGGGGAGCCCAAUGAGGUUGCAAAAAAUCGGUGGCUGCGACUGUUUAAUAAAAACACAGCACUCUGCAAACACGAAAGUGGACGUAUAGGGUGUGACGCCUGCCCGGUGCUGGAAGAUUAAAUGAUGGGGUGCAAGCUCUUGAUUGAAGUCCCAGUAAACGGCGGCCGUAACUAUAACGGUCCUAAGGUAGCGAAAUUCCUUGUCGGGUAAGUUCCGACCUGCACGAAUGGCGUAACGAUGGCCACACUGUCUCCUCCUGAGACUCAGCGAAGUUGAAAUGUUUGUGAUGAUGCAAUCUCCCCGCGGAAAGACGGAAAGACCCCAUGAACCUUUACUGUAGCUUUGUAUUGGACUUUGAACAGAUCUGUGUAGGAUAGGUGGGAGGCUUUGAAGUGUGGUCGCUAGAUCGCAUGGAGCCAACGUUGAAAUACCACCCUGGUGUGUUUGAGGUUCUAACCUAGGCCCGUAAUCCGGGUCGGGGACAGUGCAUGGUAGGCAGUUUGACUGGGGCGGUCUCCUCCCAAAGCGUAACGGAGGAGUUCGAAGGUACGCUAGGUACGGUCGGACAUCGUGCUAAUAGUGCAAUGGCAUAAGCGUGCUUAACUGCGAGACUGACAAGUCGAGCAGAUGCGAAAGCAGGACAUAGUGAUCCGGUGGUUCUGUAUGGAAGGGCCAUCGCUCAACGGAUAAAAGGUACUCUGGGGAUAACAGGCUGAUACCGCCCAAGAGUUCAUAUCGACGGCGGUGUUUGGCACCUCGAUGUCGGCUCAUCUCAUCCUGGGGCUGUAGCCGGUCCCAAGGGUAUGGCUGUUCGCCAUUUAAAGAGGUACGUGAGCUGGGUUUAAAACGUCGUGAGACAGUUUGGUCCCUAUCUUCCGUGGGCGCUGCAGAUUUGAGGAAGCCUGCUCCUAGUACGAGAGGACCGGAGUGGACACACCUCUGGUGUAUCGGUUGUCACGCCAGUGGCAUUGCCGAGUAGCUAUGUGUGGAAGAGAUAACCGCUGAAAGCAUCUAAGCGGGAAACUCGUUUCAAGAUGAGAUCUGCCGGGGCCUUGAGCCCCCUAAAGAGUCGUUCAAGACCAGGACGUUGAUAGGUCGGGUGUGGAAGCGCAGUAAUGCGUUAAGCUAACCGAUACUAAUUGCUCGUGCGGCUUGACCCU
rnacentral:rRNA from 1 species